rnacentral:rRNA from 1 species
CCGCAAGGCACUUGAAGAUGAGCCCGCGUAAGAUUAGCUAGUUGGUGAGGUAACGGCUCACCAAGGCGAUGAUCUUUAGCUGGUCUGAGAGGAUGAUCAGCCACACUGGAACUGAGACACGGUCCAGACUCCUACGGGAGGCAGCAGUAGGGAAUAUUGCGCAAUGGGGGAAACCCUGACGCAGCGACGCCGCGUGAGUGAUGAAGGCCUUCGGGUCGUAAAGCUCUGUUAUAUGGGAAUAAGAUCUG